ACAUACAGUCAGACUCCUGAACAUUUAUAAACUCAGCCACAUCUUGUUCAGCAGUAGUGACUUGUUCAGUUAGGGACUGUUGUGGUAGAUGAGAUUCCACUUCAUCCUGAACUUCCUCUUUAAGUUCUUGAACUGCCUCAGUAGAAUCUGUGACAUCAGCAUCAACUGAAAAAUGGAAAGGAUAAAUCAACUGAUUAUGGUGUGAAAAGUUAAUAGGAUACGGACCUGUGCUGGAUUU
rnacentral:lncRNA from 1 species